rnacentral:rRNA from 1 species
ACGGAAGGCAGCAGUGGGGAAUAUUGCACAAUGGGGGAAACCCUGAUGCAGCGACGCCGCGUGAGUGAAGAAGUAUUUCGGUAUGUAAAGCUCUAUCAGCAGGGAAGAAAAUGACGGUACCUGACUAAGAAGCCCCGGCUAACUACGUGCCAGCAGCCGCGGUAAUACGUAGGGGGCAAGCGUUAUCCGGAUUUACUGGGUGUAAAGGGAGCGUAGGCGGCGAGGCAAGUCAGAAGUGAAAACCCAGGGCUCAACUCUGGGAUUGCUUUUGAAACUGCUUUGCUUGAUUUCAGGAGAGGUAAGCGGAAUUCCUAGUGUAGCGGUGAAAUGCGUAGAUAUUAGGAGGAACACCAGUGGCGAAGGCGGCUUACUGGACUGACAAUGACGCUGAGGCUCGAAAGCGUGGGGAGCAAACAGGAUUAGAUACCCUGGUA